GAAAGGAUGAGAAGCUUCGACUAAGGUUCGAUUCGAGCGCAGCGAGAAAGCGUUGCCGCAGGCAACGACCCGAAGGGCGAAGCGCGCAGCGCUGAGUCAUCCUUCCCCCACCACCA
rnacentral:sRNA from 1 species